GCGAAAAAAGAUUAAAAGUACUUAACAAACAAGAAUUUGCAUAUACAACAGAUGACAAUGUUGAUCGGAAAGUAGAAGCUACAAAGCGAACAUAUAGGAGCAAAAAAAUUAAAGUGGAACCAGAAGUAGAGAAAACCUAACAGAUUCAAACGACUCAGACAGCAGCGGUGCUUCAGUUUCAAGGAAAAGAGAUAAAAAGAAUUGACAAAGAUUUAAGAAGAGGAAAAUAGAUAAAUUACAGGCUUGAAAGACAGCGAUGAGUCAGUAGAUGACUUAGAAAUAAAGCCAAUAGUUAAAAAGGAAAAACGCCUCUCUAAACUAAAAACGAAGACACUAAAAGAGACACAAAAAACAGAAAAAAUCUCUACCGGUAAGA